UACGUAGGGGGCAAGCGUUGUCCGGAUUUAUUGGGCGUAAAGAGCGUGUAGGCGGCCAUACAGGUCAGCUGUGAAAACUCGAGGCUCAACCUCGAGACGUCGGUUGAAACCGUAUGGCUAGAGUCCGGAAGAGGAGAGUGGAAUUCCCAGUGUAGAGGUGAAAUUCGUAGAUAUCGGGAGGAACACCAGUGGCGAAGGCGGCGAUCUGGGAAGAUACUGACGCUGAGGUGCGAAAGCGUGGGGAGCAAACAGG
rnacentral:rRNA from 1 species